CCAGCAGCCGCGGUAAUUCCAGCUCCACUAGCGUAUAUUAACGCUGUUGCGGUUAAAACGCUCGUAGUUUGCCCUCUGCUCCGGACCGGCGGUUCGCCUUAGCGGCGCUUACUGCCCGGCUCCGAGCUAUGUCCCUGCCGGCGCGCCGGGGGUGCUCUUAAACGAGUGUCCCUCGCGGCCGGCGAGUUCACUUUGAAAAAAUUAGAGUGCUCAAAGCAGGCCACAGCUAAAUGGGCCUGAAUGGUGGUGCAUGGAAUGAUGGAACAGGACCUCGGUUCUAUUUUGGGGGUUCUCUGAACCCGAGGUAAUGAUUAAUAGAAGCAGACGGGGGCAUUCGUACUGCGACGAUAGAGGUGAAAUUCUUAGACCGUCGCAUGACGUCCUACUGCGAAAGCAUCUGCCAAGGAUGUUUUCAUCAAUCAAGAACGAAAGU
rnacentral:rRNA from 1 species